AUUGAACGCUGGCGGCAUGCCUUACACAUACAAGUCGAACGGUAACAGGUCUUCGGAUGCUGACGAGUGGCGAACGGGUGAGUAAUACAUCGGAACGUGCCUAGUAGUGGGGGAUAACUACUCGAAAGAGUGGCUAAUACCGCAUGAGAUCUACGGAUGAAAGCAGGGGAUCGCAAGACCUUGUGCUACUAGAGCGGCCGAUGGCAGAUUAGGUAGUUGGUGGGAUAAAAGCUUACCAAGCCGACGAUCUGUAGCUGGUCUGAGAGGACGAUCAGCCACACUGGGACUGAGACACGGCUCAGACUCCUACGGGAGGCAGCAGUGGGGAAUUUUGGACAAUGGGCGCAAGCCUGAUCCAGCAAUGCCGCGUGCAGGAUGAAGGCCUUCGGGUUGUAAACUGCUUUUGUACGGAACGAAAAGCCCUGGAUUAAUACCCUGGGGUCAUGACGGUACCGUAAGAAUAAGCACCGGCUAACUACGUGCCAGCCGCCGCCGUAAAAC
rnacentral:rRNA from 1 species